UCAACAGGAAUUCCCUCUGCAAUGAUGAUGUAAAUCUGUGACUAAAAAUGGACUCUUAAGAACAUGUGAAACACUUAGUUUAUAUUUGCCAUGCUUUCUGAUGUUUGAGCCAGACUGUGCUAGCAAUGUUUUUCUCCAAGACUGAGGCUGCAAAGUAAUAGCGGUACAGAAAACAAAAUCAAAACUGUACAUUUUUAGUCACUGGCUUUUUUCCUCUCUUUGUUUUUCUUGUUUAAUUCUCACAGACAUAGGUUUAAGAUACAAGAGAAGCUCUUCCAUCUUAAACAACGUCUUAUUGAAAAAUUACCACAUAAUUGCAGGUAUGCUGCAAGUGGAAUAUAAGAAAUGGUAUGUUUUAAUAGCUGUGGUGAUGCUGGUUUGCAAGGUCUUUGCAUCUUGUGGAAGUCAUCAGGAAAUAUCAGGUGACUGUAAUUUGUAAUAGAACUACUUAAUAGACUAUAGCUCUUCCCAGAAUAUAUGGGGUUUAAAUACCUGUAUUUUUUCCCUACUUAUUUCUUGAUUACAGUGUAAUUGGCUUUUUUUCUGACAAAUAAAGCUUUUGAAAAGUUAUUCAGGUCUUCUAAAGGUUUUGUACUAGACCUGCCUGAAUACUGUGGAGUCUUUAGUCCAACAAGAGAUUUCUUUUGGUAUCAUGUAUUUUUUAAGCAGAGCUGUUCAGAGACUUGUUCAACUCAUAAAUGCUGGGUAUGUCAUUCUAUCCAAAAGGUCACCAGAAAAUCAAGAAGUCUCUUCCUAAGGCUGUUCUAAAGGAAUUUUGAUGGCCUCUGUAGAAAAUUAGCUUUAAUAUAUCACACCAGUUUUUAUUUCAAAGAUUGCAACAUUUUUAACAGUGCUGCAAAGUCUGAUCAGAAUCAAUUAUUUUUCUGAUAAACAACCAACUCCUAGUGUUUUUCUCUUUUAAAAACAAAGCCUGACUUUGACCUCCUUUUUGAGUCCAAAACUCAGGCUGCAUUCCACUGGCCUUCCACCAAGGAGGGGUUACCAGUUAACAUUACUUUUGAAAGAUAUAUCUGUCUUGUGCCCACCUGUAGCUGAGGAAGCACUGAAAAUUGAACCAGUCCACUGAGGUUAUGAUGUUCUGUGCUACUUUUGUAGCCUCAUUUUCAUUUUAUAUUUACCAAAACCAAACAUUUCAGGUAUAAAAAAAUUCUAAUAGCAAAAAUAUAUAUUUCUAUAUUUCAUAUCUGAACAUGUGCUUUUAUAGAUAUGUUGAAAUAAGUUUAGUACAGAAGAAAAUAGUUCAGGACUAAAAAAAUCUGGAUAGCUCACUCCCUGAGAAACCACCUUUUUAAACAUAAAGAAGCCUUCAAAGUGCAUCUGCUUUUCUAGAUUCAAGCUGAUUGACACCAUGGAGUUUUUACCAUACUUAUUUACACUACAUUUGCAGAGAAGGAUCAGUGCUUAGAACUCUCCUAAACAGAAGAGCCAUGCCUGCCCAAGGAAGGAUUUGUACUCCCAAGGGAAAAAAUUCUUGGAACUCCUGAUGCAAUGUGCCAGGAUAGUGGCAUGAUUUUUUUAUGGUGAAAAAGUCUUGGGAGGUCCUAAGGUCUUCUGAGCUGGUGAAAGGCAAUCUCCUGGCCUGAAAAACAGCAUCUUUCUGGCUUGAAAAUAGAGGUAGCUGGGUUUGAAUGACUUCUUAAUGGUCAGGAGCAAUGUUCUAGAAACUGUGAAAAAAGAUAAGGUGAGUAUUCAUCAAUGCUCUGUCAGUUCACAUAGCAUUGGUACCUACUGACCUUAAUGUGACUGCUGAGGGUCAGACUCUCCCUGCUAUUUACACAACCAAAACAGAGUACAAAAUGCUCUGUUCUAUGAUGGAGUAAGAAACAAUGCUCCUAUUUUAGCUGUAGUUGGCAAAUGCGUUGGAACUACUGAUAUUUACUCCUCUCAGGAGAAUUAAUCCACAAGCACCAGAGGCUGAUGUCCAAAAAGGAGACAGAGGACUCCUGUAACUUUAUUCGAAUAAAGGGAGAGGCCACGGGGCAUUUCCUCUGUGGUCUCUCAGACUUUAGGAGGAAGCAGCCUCCUUUUUAUCCCAGUUUCCCAGCCACAUUUACCUUUCCCCAUUGCCUGAGGUACCUGGGAGGUACAGACUUCCCAAACACCUGAGACUCCCUUCUAAUGUAUAUCCCCCACCUUUUGUCUUUUCCAGGUGUCACUCAGUGGAAUUCCUUAUGGAAUUUAUGGUUCUUCCCAUUGCUUCUUUCAUCUCUCAGUAUCCAAUUUAUCAGCAGACCUACAGUUUGUUUGUAAAGACAAAUCUCUCAUUCCAUUUAUCAAUCACUGGAAUCCUUCCCAUUGUUUCUUUUAUCUCUCAGUAUCUAGCUCUAUUUACCAGCAGAUCCACAGUGUGUUUGUAAAGACAAGUCCCUCAUUCCUUUCACUCUGAAUUCUCCUGUGGUUUUGAUUUUGAAAAGGUGACAGCAAUGUUUGCUCUUUGAAUAUAUAAACACAUUAUUUAUUCCAAAUAAUGGCAAAAUUAUGUUCAGUUAUUAUGAAUGGAAUAUGCUCUGUAAAUUCAUCAAUGAAACUUGAAUGUGCCCACAGUUCCACAAAUGCUGGAUUGUUUUCUCCCUUUCUUGGUAGGAAUGGAAGAAUGUUUUAAUGUUAUCUUGUGAAAGGAAGCUGAAACUACCUCAUGGUUUCAAUUUAUGGACUGGAAGAUGUGGAAGAUACUGUAACAGGAAGGCAGGUGCAGUAGAAGAGUAAGGAUGUUCUGUCAGCUGUGGUCAAGGGAAAAUAGCAAUUUGCUGUUGUCAGUUAUUGUGUAUAGAAGACAUUCUGAAAGCAUUGAAUUCAGGCUUGGGAACAGUCAAACAGGCUUCCAGUAUGUGUUCUGCUAUGUGUGAAGUGAUUUCUAUGCAAAUCAUGCCAGCUGGAGAGAAGACACCAGACCUUUGUUUGGCUGAUUACUACAGGAGGUACAAGCUCUAAAGGUUUGCAAUAUCCUUGUAAUGUCCACAGAACACACUGGAGUUUAGGUAAUAAGUUCUUCAUGAAUGUGCGUGACAGAAGCUCUGCAGCCUCUGCCAGUCUCAGCAUUUUGAGUUUCUUAGGGCGGUUGUACAGGUCAGAUUGUGCUUUUGAUGUUAUUUUCUUCCGCGCACCUGAUCUCAUUACUUAGCGUGGUUCAAAGGUUACUAAAAGUAAUUUAUUUCCAUUCUUGAUGUUAACAGAAAAAUGAAGAAUGAUUACAAGUUUGUUGGAUUUUUUUU